AGAGUUUGAUUAUGGCUCAGGAUGAACGCUAGCUACAGGCUUAACACAUGCAAGUCGAGGGGCAGCAGGACGAUAGCUUGCUAUGUGCUGGCGACCGGCGCACGGGUGAGUAACGCGUAUCCAACCUUCCCCUUAGUAGGGCAUAGCCCGGUGAAAAUCGGAUUAAUACCCUAUGUUGUGUCAUGAGGACAUCUGAAUAACACUAAAGAUUUAUCGGCUAAGGGAUGGGGAUGCGUCCGAUUAGGUAGUCGGCGGGGUAACGGCCCACCGAGCCCUCGAUCGGUAGGGGUUCUGAGAGGAAGGUCCCCCACGACUGGUACUGAGACACGGACCAGACUCCUACGGGAGGCAGCAGUGAGGAAUAUUGGUCAAUGGGCGUAAGCCUGAACCAGCCAAGUAAGCGUGCAGGAUGACGGCCCUAUGGGUUGUAAACUGCUUUUAUACGGGGAUAAAGUGAGGGACGUGUCCCUUAUUGUAGGUACCGUAUGAAUAAGGACCGGCUAAUUCCGUGCCAGCCGCUGC
rnacentral:rRNA from 1 species